GACUUAGCCUGAACAGGAUUGUGUGUGACAGGUUUUCCUGCUUCUGUUUCCCAUGAUUGGAUCAAGGCAAGCGCAAUAGUGAUUAUUUAUUAUUCCAUUGAGGAAGGCUUCAGCUGAAAAGGCAAACUUGUACCACAAAGCCCAUUUUG